UACAGAGGUCUCAAGCGUUGUUCGGAUUCAUUGGGCGUAAAGGGCGCGUAGGCGGCGCGGUAAGUCGGGUGUGAAAUCUUGGAGCUUAACUCCGAAACUGCAUUCGAUACUGCCGUGCUUGAGGACUGGAGAGGAGACUGGAAUUUACGGUGUAGCGGUGAAAUGCGUAGAUAUCGUAAGGAAGACCAGUGGCGAAGGCGGGUCUCUGGACAGUUCCUGACGCUGAGGCGCGAAGGCCAGGGGAGCAAACGGG
rnacentral:rRNA from 1 species